AUUUCAUCCACACAGCCUCCCUAUCCCAGGAUGGAGAUGCCCCACUAAAUAUUUCCAGAGGACAUCACUUCAUGCCAGCACUUGAUCCAGCCCAGGUUUGCAGGAGCUGGGGUAAGUAAUGGAAGCUCACCCCACUGCACGGUGCUAGUGCCUCAAACUCAGGCCUUUCCAGCUGACAAGCUCAGCGUCUUUAACAGAAUAUGAAAGAUAAAAGGAAAAAAAAAACCUUUGCUGUGUGCAUAUAAUCUGAUGUGGAUUUAAAUAUAGGUCAAUAUUUCUAAAUGUUCCUAAGCACUAGAAGAACAAUCUUCAACUAUCUUCAUCUGCAUCCAAAUCUGUGGGGACUAUGGAAAACAUAAUCUAACAACUGGAAAAUACAAGAUUGAAGAAGGCUAUAUUAAUGGAACAGAUACCCACUUCACAUUCCCUUCACCAUUGCAGCUCAAUGUAAUCAUGCUAAAUAUUUAUAUUUGGUAAAAUGAACACUGAUUCAUUAAAA